AGCCUACUGCUAUCGGGUUCACACUAAGUCAUGCAAGUCGUACGCCGGGACCUGGCCCGGCGUGGCGUCCCGCUCAGUAACACGUGGUGAACCUACCCUUCCGUGGGGGAUAACCUCGCGAAAGUGAGGCUAAUCCCCUAUGGCCCUACCGUACUGGAAUGUUGGUAGGGCGAAAGGCCUAGAGGGCAUGGGCCUCUAGGCCGCGGAAGGAUGGCACUGCGGCCGAUUAGGUCGUAGGUAGUGUAAUGGACUACCUAGCCGACGAUCGGUACGGGCCGUUAGCGCGGUAGCCCGGAGUGGGCCACUGAAACAGCGGGCCCCGGCCUACGGGCUGCAGCAGGCGGGAAAACUGCACACUCCGCGCAAGCGGGAUGCGGUGAACCCGAGUGGAUCUCUGGAAGAGAUCCUUUUGCCGAGUGUAAACAGCUCGGCGAAUAAGGAGAGGGCAAGACUGGUGCCAGCCGCCGCGGUAACACCAGCUCUUCGAGUGGUGGGCGCGCUUACUGGGCCUAAAGCGUGCGUAGCGGGGCUGGUAAGCUCCAUGUAAAAACCCACGGCUUAACCGUGGGCUCGCAUGGGGUACUGCCAGCCUUGGGACCGGGAGAGGUGCGGGGUAUGCCCUGGUCAGGGGUGAAAUCCUGUGACCCAGGGUGGACCACCGGUGGCGAAGGCGCCGCACCAGAACGGGUCCGACCGUCAGGCACGAAAGCUGGGGUAUCGACCCGGAUUAGAGACCCGGUUAGUCCCAGCCGUAAACUAUGCCCGCUAGGUGUUAGCCCUUCCACGAGAAGGGCUAGUGCCGAAGGGAAGCCGUUAAGCGGGCCGCCUGGGGAGUACGGCCGCAAGGCUGAAACUUAAAGGAAUUGGCGGGGGCCUACCACAAGGGGAGGAGCCUGCGGCUUAAUUGGAUUCAACCCCGGGAACCUUACCUGGGCCGCCUAUACCUGUGACUGCCAGGCUGAUGACCUUGCUCGAGGUAUAGGCAGGUAGUGCACGGCCGCCUCAAGCUUGAGUCGUGAGAUACCCGGUCAAAUCCGGGAUCAAGCGAGACCCGGACCCCGCGUUACCAGGGGUCUCCUUCGGGGGACCCGGCACACUCGGGGGACAGCUGCCGUUGAAGGCAGAGGAAGGACCGGUCCACGGCAGGUCAGUGUGCUCCUUGAGCCCAGGGCUGCACGCGGGCUACAAUGGGCGGGACAGUGCGUACCAACCCCGAGAGGGGAAGGUAAUCGCUAAACCCGCCCUCAGUUGGGAUCGAGGGUUGCAACCCACCCUCGUGAACUUGGAUUCCCUAGUACUCCCGUGUCAACAGCGCGGGGGGAAUAAGUCCCU
rnacentral:rRNA from 1 species